GACGAACGCUGGCGGCGUGCCUAAUACAUGCAAGUUGAGCGCUGAAGGUUGGUACUUGUACCAACUGGAUGAGCAGCGCACGGGUGAGUAACGCGUGGGGAAUCUGCCUUUGAGCGGGGGACAACAUUUGGAAACGAAUGCUAAUACCGCAUAAAAUCUUUAAACACAAGUUUUAAGUUUGAAAUAUGCCAUUUCAUCACUCAAAGAUGAUCCCGCGUUGUAUUAGCUAGUUGGUGAGGUAAAGGCUCACCAAGGCGAUGAUACAUAGCCGACCUGAGAGGGUGAGCGGCCACAUUGGGACGGAGACACGGCCCAAACUCCUACGGGAGGGAGCAGUAGGGAAUCUGCAGGAAUGGACGAAAGUCUUACCGAGCAACGCCGCGUGAGUGAAGAAGGUUUUCGGAUCGUAAAACUCUGUUGGUAGAGAAGAACGUUGGUGAGAGUGGAAAGCUCAGCAAGUGACGGUAACUACCCAGAAAGGGACGGCUAACUACGUG
rnacentral:rRNA from 1 species